rnacentral:rRNA from 1 species
GUAUAAGAGACAGCAGCCGCCACGGUAAUACGGAGGGGGCUAGCGUUGUUCGGAAUUACUGGGCGUAAAGCGCACGUAGGCGGCUUGGUAAGUUAGAGGUGAAAGCCUGGAGCUCAACUCCAGAAUUGCCUUUAAGACUGCCGAGCUAGCAGGUGAGAGAGGUAAGUGGAAUUCCGAGUGUAGAGGUGAAAUUCGUAGAUAUUCGGAAGAACACCAGUGGCGAAGGCGGCUUACUGGCUCAUACUGGACGCUGAGGUGCGAAAGCGUGGGGAGCAAACAGGAUUAGAUACCCCAGUAGUCCCUGUCUCUUAUAC